GUGCUCACUUCGGCAGCACGUAUACUAAAAUCAGAAUGAUACGGAGAAGAUUAACAUGGCCCUCUACAAGGAUGACACAAAAAUUUUUAGUCAAGGUCUCUCUUUUG